GAUGAACGCUGGCGGCAUGCCUUACACAUGCAAGUCGAACGGCAGCACGGGAGCAAUCCUGGUGGCGAGUGGCGAACGGGUGAGUAAUAUAUCGGAACGUGCCCAGUCGUGGGGGAUAACGUAGCGAAAGCUACGCUAAUACCGCAUACGAUCUAUGGAUGAAANCGGGGGAUCGCAAGACCUCGCGCGAUUGGAGCGGCCGAUAUCAGAUUAGGUAGUUGGUGAGGUAAAGGCUCACCAAGCCAACGAUCUGUAGCUGGUCUGAGAGGACGACCAGCACACUGGAACUGAGACACGGUCCAGACUCCUACGGGAGGCAGCAUGGGGAAUUUUGGACAAUGGACGCAAGUCUGAUCC
rnacentral:rRNA from 1 species